rnacentral:rRNA from 1 species
AAAAAUUAUUUACAAUGAAUAAUAUAAGCUAUUUAGUAUGAGUAGGCAAGUUUGAAAUGUAGUGAUUAAUAUAGAGUACUGUAAAGGAGGUUUAAUUAGGAAAAAGAUUUUAUUGUUAAGUUACCUUUUGUAUUAGGGACGUUUAAGAUAAAAGUUUAGAUAAAUUAUCCCGAAUUGCUUGUGGGCUAACUAGGAUUUUACUAUUGUUGCAUAAAUGAAACUAAUUUCUAGUUAGUGAUGAAAUAUUAGUCAAACGGCAUGAUAUCUGGUUUUUUUAUAAGUAAAUUGAAUUUAUAGAAUUAUUAAUUCUUAAAGUAUUGUUAGGAUUAGCUAAUAGUAAGUCUAUAUUAUGUAAAGAAGUUUUCUUAGGUAGGUUUAAUAAUGAUUAUUCAUUAAAUUUUAUUAUUAUUUAAGUGGGAAAUUAAAUUAUUAAAAUGAUAUUUGGGUUAUAUAAAAAUAUGGGAUAUGAUAAGUUAUUCAUAUAAAUAUUGAGUGUAUUAGUAGCUUGUAUUGUGUUUGAUUUAAUGAACAUGAGAAGGGAAUUGAAGUGAUAUUAUGUGUUGUUAAGGAACUCGGCAAAGUAAUCUUGCCUGUUUAAUAAAAACAUGGUUCUUUGGAUUUUAAUAGAGAAUCUGGCCUGCCCACUGAAUUAAGUUAAAGGGCUGCAGUAUUUUGACUGUACAAAGGUAGCAUAAUCAUUAGUCUUUUAAUUGAGGACUGGAAUGAAUGGUUUGACAGGAUUACACUGUCUCAGUAAUAAUGAGUUAAUUUUACGUCCUUGUGAAAAGGCAAGGAUAAUUUAUAGGGACGAGAAGACCCUAUAAAACUUAAUUUUAAUAGGUGUAUUAUUUAGACGAUUAAUUUAAUAUAUUCGUUAAGGGUUUGCUGGGGCGGUAUUUAUUUUACAUAAAUUUUAUUAAAUAGUGAUGAUUAGCUUAAUAAAUGAUCCGGUAUUUUGGUCGAUAAAAAGAAGAAGUUACUUUAGGGAUAACAGCGUAAUGAUUUUUGAGAGUUCUUAUUGACGGAAUUGUUUGCGACCUCGAUGUUGGAUUAAGGAAU